rnacentral:rRNA from 1 species
CAGGGAAUCUUGCGCAAUGGGCGAAAGCCUGACGCAGCGACACCGCGUGAAGGAUGAAGGUCUUAGGAUUGUAAACUUCUUUUCUAGGGGAAGAGUAAGGACGGUACCUUAGGAAUAAGGAUCGGCUAACUACGUGCCAGCAGCCGCGGUAAUACGUAGGAUCCGAGCGUUGUCCGGAUUUACUGGGCGUAAAGGGUGUGUAGGCGGUAUGGUAAGUCUCAUGUGAAAUCUCCCGGCUCAACUGGGAGGGGUCAUGGGAAACUGUCAAACUCGAGGGCAGCAGAGGAGAGCGGAAUUCCGGGAGUAGUGGUGAAAUGCGUAGAUACCCGGAGGAACACCCGUGGCGAAAGCGGCUCUCUGGGCUGUACCUGACGCUGAUACACGAAAGCGUGGGGAGCAAACCGGAUUAGAUACCCCCGUAGUCC